GGCCGCCGGGAGCGGCGGCGGGGAGGGAAGGGCAGGGCCGUUCCCGACGCCGUUGCCGUGUGUUGCGGACCCCGCGUGGCCGCGCGCCGGCCUCUCAGUCACGGGCUGGCACAGUGUGUCCCUCAGAGCCGACCUGCGCCAGGACAGGUGGCCGCCUCAGCCCCAGUCUGGCACCAGCGCUCACCUUCACCGCACUCCUGGUGCCUCACUGCGUGCGUUUAAUGGCUGCUUGCUGAAGUCUGUACGCAGCCGUGUGCUUGGAGAUGUGCCCCCCUCGCUGCGACCGAAGGGAAAUGUGAUCAGAAAGGAGAUGUGAAUUGGUCUGGGCUACCUGCUUGCAGGGAGGGCCUCUGCGCCGUGCCCCUCACUACAACACACUGAGGCCCUGGAGUGUGUCCAGAGAAGGGCAACAGAACUGUGAGGGGAGGGUGUGAUGGUUGUGUCAGAACGAUCUUGGCUUCAGCAGCAGUGCUGUAUUACAGUUUGGGAAGAUGGAGGAGUCGCAGCGACGUGAAGAAAUGCGGUGUCUAACAAGCAAGUGUAAACUCUUAACCCAGAGCUUCAUUUGGUCCUACGUGCAACUGAGUGAUCCAGCAGAGAACGUCCGAUGACACAAAUGCUACUGGUUGAACUGACGUUUCUGCAUCACAGUGCUCAGUCAAUUCAUCAGUUACAUUAGGACAUUCAAAAACGUAAAAGAGGUGUGUGAAAAUAGCACUGAAAAUGCAACUUAGAAGAAAAGACGUUCAGUUAAAGCACACGAGGACAAGCCUAGAAACCUGUUCUGGCAGUCCUCAGCUGAAAGUACAUCCUUCACCUCACCGAAGUCAGAUGCUUCUUCAGCACCCAGUGCCUCCAUACAGCAGCACGAUGAAUUCCAGCCACUACAUAUGGAUCUGCUUACGGAGUGCCGAGGACCUACAGGGGAAGAAAGAGGCACGUGUCCCCUCAUGGCUGGCACGACUCGACCUCUUGGUACAAUCGUACGAGGAAAAUGCCACCUGCACCGUUGGUUCUAAAAGCCUACGGACAAAGCAGCGUCGUAACCACCGGCAACAUAACCACGUCGAUGCCGGGAUUUGAGCUGACAGCCGACGCGUGCCGCAGGCGG
rnacentral:lncRNA from 1 species